rnacentral:lncRNA from 1 species
AAGAAGAAAAGUGAAGAUAAAUUUGCCUAAUUGUGUGUUAAUUAGUUGUGCUUGGUGAAUUGAGGGAUUGGAAAAGAAAUGGAGAAAGUUGGAGUGAAAUUGGACGCAUUGGCCAAUUUAUUGGAUGAAAAUUUGACUUAAGUCAAUACCGGGUCUAGAUGGCUACCUGUGCAUUUUUCAUUUCAUAUCAUGCAUAUAUAUCGAGCUUGAAAUAGCUUAUGACUGUUAGACACAAUUUAAUUGAAAUAUGUGCCAUGGAUUAUGGCUAGGUGGUGAGCCAUUAGAUACGGGUAAAAGACUGUACCCGCGGACUAAAAAUAGGAGUAUAUCGACUCCUAUAACAGUGAGUAAACUUACUAUCGUCUUAAUUAUCUAGAGUAGAUUUAUUUAAUUCUGUGAUUUUAUGGAAAAAUAGUUUAAUUGGAAAAUUAUUGUGUUUUAUGGGAAAAUGAGAUUUUAUAAAAUAAUUUUAUAAAAUUUUUGUAAAUUUAAUAAUGAUUUCAAAAAUAGAGUAAUUAGAGACCUAUACUAUGAUUGUGUUGUUUAUCUAUGAUUUUACAUUAAAUGGCUUAUGAUAAAUGUGGGUAUGACUGGUUAUUUUUAUGAUUUCAAGAAUAUGUGAACUGCUUUGAUUUGCCUUGAAUGUGUUAAGAGAGCCAUGUCAUACUAUUGUGAUUUUAUUGGUUGGUGGAUUAUAAAUUGGGCACUGCAGUGACGGGGGUUCCGUGGGCUAGCCUAAUUAGAGGGGCACAGUUCUCAAUUAUUGAGCUUACCUCGAUUGGAGAGGCGUGUAGGAUAACUCCCGAGGUAGGAUUUGAGUACACUUCACGCUGACCACCAUGUGAAACUGGGACUCAGCCAACGCCGAGGAACGGUUGUGUUGUCAGAGGUGAAAUGUGUUUGUGUGUGUGACAAUAAACAGCCUUGGCAGUCUUGGUAAGAUGCCUUCGCGGGGUAUCCCCGAGAAUGGAUUUUUGGCAAGGGUCAAGUUUUUGAAAAGUGCAUAAGCCCUGUUGAGUAAUUGGAUGAAAUCCAAUUAUUUAUAUGGGUUGGGAUGAAUUAUUUUAAUUGUCUCCUAUUACUCGACUUUAGAUUAUUUUGAUGAUGUCUGUCUACUCACUGGGAUUUUAUAAUCUCACCCCUUCUUCCUAUCCAUUUUUCAGGCUCAGGACAAUUUGUUGAUAGUUGAUUAAGACGAGAAUUAAUCUCGGAGUUGCAUCUUAAAAAGUAAGGGUUCGUAACCCUACAUUUUAUUAGUCAGUUGGGGGCCCACGUGUCACUGUAAAAGUAAUUUUAUUUUUCAGUUAUUUAAUUUAAAAUAUGUAUGAAUAUAUUUAGCUUUUACACCAUGUUUUUGGCGAGUUUCGGUAUUUUCAAAGAAAAAUGAUGAAAAUGCCCCUAUGAGCCAGAAAGUAAUAUUUUAUUGUUUUGAUUUGGAAAUGACUUAUGAUUUUUUUUGAAAUGUGAGAUUUAAUAACUGUCGCUCACUAGGGAGAUGCAGAAGCUGAUGCUAAGCCUUGCGGGGUUUCGAUCGGCAUUCGGGGUAAUGAGUGCCUAUCGGGACAUCGCGGCGGUUGUCACGG